CGGGAAAAGCUCAAAUUUAAAAUCUGGUGGCCUUUGGCCAUCCGAGUUGUAAUUUGUAGAGGAUGCUUUUGGUGCGGUGCCUUCCGAGUUCCCUGGAACGGGACGCCUUAGAGGGUGAGAGCCCCGUACGGUUGGACGCCUAGCCUCUGUAAAGCUCCUUCGAC
rnacentral:rRNA from 1 species